GUGUUCGUAAAAAGGAGAGACGGUUGGCAUCUCCCCUGACAGGGACGGGAACGGUCUUCGGACUUUCCUCUAGCACACAGCGGUUAAGGCUACCCGCUUCGGCGGAUCUUACCCAAUUUUUUU
rnacentral:ncRNA from 1 species